CAUCUCCAUACAACUGAAGCUUCUGUGAACAGCUUCUAGUCCUUAAGGUGCCAGUCACUGUGUGAGCACAGGUGUGAUCCUCCUCACUAAACACUGUGAUCCAACACUUCAUCAUUUGGACUAUAUAUUUACUUUCAAGGACACAGCUAAUUAUCAACCAGAAUUAAAUCAGCAAAUAUUCCCCAGGAGAAUUCAGCCAGGAUUCUGAAAGCCAGCUGAAUAUUUACAAAGAACAACCUGCACAGAAUCGUCUCAACACUCACUGUUCUUGGGUGAUGUAUCCCGUUCAUUGUCAAUUCCUAAGUGCCUGAGAGAAGAUGGUGCUGAACUGCUCCAGUACAGGCAGAAACUCUGGGAUCUUACUCAGCUAAUGUUCUGGGGAC